UGCGAGUUGAGCUGGCCAAGAGCUCUGUCUGGUAUUUGAGGUAUGUCUCUCCCCACGCUCUCGCCUCCCAUCCCACCGCCCCCAGACUCGCCGAAAGCUGCUUUCUGCAGGCUGCUGGGGAGGAGGACGAGUGAGCCACUGACGUUCUCCUGGCUACUGAUUCAUUCCUCUGGAGGUCCAGGCCAAGACUGCAAAACCAGACUCCUGCAGUCUCUUCCCAGAUCUGCUGCCAAACGCAUCUGUAAAGUUCUAUUUUGACCACAGGAUGGCAGGCAGAGUAUGAUGGCACUAUUUCAUCGUCACCUUCUACUUUUCAUGGAAAAGAUAUAAAAAUGAAAAGAUAAAAAUCCAGUAAAAUUCAGUAAUACUUGCUAUAAAAAAUGUUCAUGGGCAGAUAUCCUGUGGAAGACGCUCAAGUCCAAGAAAGCUUCCUGUGUUUUUGUAGCACUCCAAGACAGCAUACGACACACAAAAUCAUCGGUUUGAAGAUAACCACUUCAAAAGAGAAAGAGCAGAAGCUGCACUUUUACACAUGGGAAAGGGCCUUGCUUCCUCAGGUCCAGUGCCUCUGUGGGGAUGUCCAUCAAGCGUUGGUGCUACUCUACAAUUGCUCUUCUGGGUUGCUGAGAGAGAGAAAUGUAGCAGAAACCAAGAGCUCUGGCACUCGACUUCCAAGGUAUUAGGCGAAGAAAAGCUUCAGUCUCCCACAUACAAUGAGAAGGCAGGCUUGAAGCCUAAACUGUAACAGGGAGGUUCUGCAUCUUUUGAGAUAAUAAUCUUCUGUUCAGCAACUGCAUUAUUUGCCCUGAAGAUGUAGCUUGGUCAGGAAAAGCAACAGAAGGGUUUCCAUCAGCAGAUGGAAAGAGCCCAGACCUGAAGGACAACAGAGCCGGUGCACGUGGAAACCUCGGGAGCAGACUGUUCUCAUUCCAGCUUGCUCCAUCAUGUUUGCAUAGAUAAAGGCUAGUCAGGGCUUCUUUCACUUCUGGAUGCAUUGCAGAUAUAAAGAGAACUGACUGGAUUGCUAAUGCAGAAACGUCCCCAACUUUCCCAAACUGAAAGGAAGCAAGAACAGUGCAGCAGCUCCUCCGUUUCCUUGCAAAACAUUGCCCAGACUUUGCAAUUGCAGAACAGACCACAGAAGCAGUCGCACGUCAUCAGGAUCUGGUCGCCAGCGAUGGCCGUAAGUAGUUGCCUGGGCAGGAGUACAACCACAGGGCCUAAUACAACAAAACUGUGCCCAGACAGACAGCCCCCCCAAACACCGCUGGUUCAAGGAUGUGAGCUGACUACCCUCAGCGGACUUCUCUCCAUGAACUUUGCCAUCUGCUCCAGCAAACUUUGAGCAUCUGCACCAGGGGGGAAGCGCCCCUGCUUUGAACCUGGCUCCCACUCAUCUCAUCUGGAGUCUCCUUGUUAAUGGCUCUCCCCUCUCCUCCGCUCCAGACUUAACAGGCUCCAGCAUAUCCCCUCAACCCGUUGUCCUCAAUAUAAAAUAGUGCCAUCAGUUUUGCAAGAAGUAAAUAUGUCGCACUUUAGGUAUAAAUCUUUUGCAAACUUGAUACAAACUUCUAGAUACUUGCAGGCAAAGGGCACUUUGAAGCUGUACGCGCAAACUUGCUCUAGCUGAAGUCAGUGAAAUUAGCACUUACAUCCAGUGGCCUGCAUGAACAAAAGCAGCCCGUUUACAUCACCAUAUGAAGUUCUUUGAAGCAUGUUUGUCUCUAUAUUUGUCUAUUUUUUUCUAGUAAUAGAGAAUAACUUAUUUGCUGUAGACUUUUAUGACAGGUAUAAGACCUGUCAGGCAUGAGAGCUACAUGCAGUAUUGUAUGCACCAGGAAUUCUCAGCUAAGAAGUGGUGAAUAGGUUAGAAGCCUGGCCUUAUUUUUGAAUAGCUAUGCUUUAUGAUAUCACACAAUUUUGGUUGGACAUGUGCAUAAAAAGAACCUUUCAGGAAGAAUGUCUAUAGUCAGGAACCCUUCCCAUUCAUUUUUUAGUAUUAUUUUUAAAUAAAGUUAAA